rnacentral:rRNA from 1 species
AUGGCCAACGCCGCGGUCGACCCCGAGAGCAAAAGGGCGCGGUUGACUUCGUCCAUGUCGUCCGUGGACACCAUCCUCCGUCUCCCGCCCUCGCUGCCGUCGACGUCCGCGACGCGCGCCCCGGCGGGCCACCCGCUGGAGGAGCCGCCCGCGCGUCGGAGGCCGGCGCGGAGAUCCAAGCCCGUGAGGAUUUUCCAGAGCAUGUUCCGGUCUCUGCCGGUGCUGACGGUGCCGCGCUGCGGGGGGAUUCUGACGGCAGCUCCGACCGCCGCGUCAGCGUCGGCGUCGCCGGCGCGGUCGGACUCCCUCCUGUCGCAAAUCAUCUCGCCCUCGACCACGUUGAAUGGCGGCGGAGGCGUCGGUGCGUCGUCCCGGCGGCACAUGACUGGCACGCUCUUCGGCUGCCGCGAGGGCCGCGUGUCGCUCGCGCUGCAGGAGAACCCGCGGUGCCGCCCGGCGCUCGUGGUGGAGCUGGCGCUCCCGACGCACACCCUGCUCCGCGAGCUCGGCGGCACGGCCGGUACGCGCAUCGUGCUGGAGGCCGAGAAGAAGCACGUGGAGGAGCACAGCAGCUCCGGCGGCGGCGAACACGGCGACGCCGCGGCGAGGCAGCACGACGACGACGGGUGGCUGCUCCAUGAGCCGAUCUGGACCAUGUUCUGCAACGGCAAGAGGGUGGGCUACGCGGUGCGGCGGGAGCCGACGGACGGCGACAUCGCGGUGCUGGAGACGCUCUGGGCCGUGUCCAUGGGCGGCGGCGUGCUCCCCGGGAGGGCAGGCUCGGCCGCGUCUGACGGGGAGCUGGCGUACAUGCGGGGUUGCUUCGAUAACAUCAUCGGGUCCGAGGACUCUGAGUCGCUGUACAUGCUCGGGCCGCAUGGCGGCGAUAGCCCGGAGCUCGCCGUCUUCUUCGUUAGGCUUUGA